ACAGGAUAAAAUGGUCAGUGUGGCUUUCGCAUACAAUGAAUCACCAAGAUAUGGGAGAGAGAUGGUCAAGGAGAGCUCUUUUAGUUGAAGAGAUGAUAAAGAUAUUCAGGGAGCUUGAUAUUGAAUACCGUAUGCUGCCUCUUGAUGUCAAUGUUCGUAACUUGCCACCAUUGCCAUCAAGUAGAGUUCCCUCUAACUGGACAAUUUGUGCUUAAUCAAUACCUCUUGAUGUCAACGUUCGUGACUUGCCGCCAUUGCCAUCAAGCAGGGUUCCCUCUAACUGGACAAUUUGUGCUUAGUCGAUCUUAAGAUGACUGAAAUGGUUGCCGGUGCUAUCUGAUAUGGGGUGAAUGCCAGUGAACUAGAAUCGGAUUCAACGUAUAAGCCAUAGGGGGGACAACCUGGACGCAUACUCAUUGUCUCUGAUUCGAGCUAUAUACUUGUAUAUAGAAAGUUAAAAGUUGAAUGUUAAUAUCUUUUAAGAGGUGCAAUACCUCAUGCUUAUUAUAGAUAGUUAUCUGUAGUUAACUUUUAAAUAUCCGAUGGUCAAUAAUCGGCUUCACUUGUUCUAAGUUUUUCUCAUUCAAAAAUGAGUUGCACCAUUGAUCACCAAUUUUUUGAGUGAGGGCUUCUAUAGUUGGUUGACCAAAAUGAGAAUUCUUACAAUAGUUGCAUGUUUGGUGGCCGUUUGGAUAUAAAAAUUAUAAUUUUUGGAAAAAAGAAUAGUAUUUGAAAUUUAAAAUAGUAUUCGAGGCUGAGACAGUUCGGACAUGUUAAGAGAAGAAGCAUUGAUGCUCCUGUUAGGAGGUGUGAGAGGUUGGCUAUGAAGAGUUUGAGAAGAGGCCAAGGUAGGUCUAAAAAGUACCGGGAAGAGGUGAUUAGAUACGACUUGGCACUGCUUCAGCUCACAGGGGACAUGACCCUUGAUAGGAGGGUAUGAAGUUCGAGAAUUAAUGUAAAAGAUUAGUAGGUAAUUUAUAUUGUUCAUCGAUAGUCUUAGUAUCAUGUAUGUCCCUUCAUAUUCUUAGAUUUCUAGUACGUUAUGUGGUUGUGUUUGCCUCAGCUAUUGUAC
rnacentral:lncRNA from 1 species